GAUUAACGCUGGCGGCGUGCCUAACACAUGCAAGUCGAGCGGCAGCGAGUUUUACACUGAAUUCUGGAAGCUUCUAGUUGCAAGAGAAGAUUUAUUCAAGAAUUUUGUGUAAAAUGUCGGCGAGCGGCGGACGGCUGAGUAACGCGUGGGAACGUACCCCAAAGUGAGGGAUAACGCAUCGAAAGGUGUGCUAAUACCGCAUAUGGUCUUCGGAUUAAAGCCUUCGGGCGCUUUGGGAACGGCCUGCGUAAGAUUAGAUAGUUGGUGGGGUAAUGGCCUACCAAGGCGACGAUCGUUAACCUGGUUGAGAGGAUGAGCAGUCAGACUGGAGCUGAGACGCAGUCCAGACUCCUACGGGAGGCAGCAGUGAGGAAUCUUCCACAAUGGGCGAAGGCCUGAUGGAGCAACGCCGCGUGCAGGAUGAAGGCCUUCGGGUUGUAAACUGCUUUUAUAAGUGAGGAUUAUGACGGUAACUAAUGAAUAAGGAUCGGCUAACUACGUG
rnacentral:rRNA from 1 species